UUCGAGUGCAAGUAAUGGAUCACACUGGCUUUAUAUCUUUGGGAUCGUGAAGCAACAAGUCUCAUUGGGAAAUAUGCUAAUGAGUUAAAUGAAGUUUCAAUUGAGUCUUAGACUUCUGCUGCUGUUGAUGAGUGUUCUUAUCCAGUGGAGUUGUAUGAUAUUCUUGACAAAAAAGUCCUAUUUAAAGUGACUAUCAAGAGCUCCAACAUUAAAGUGCAUGCGAAAGUUUAUAAUGUUGUUAAAAUCAGCGAGGACGAUAACAUUAUACAACAAUAUAGUCAAUCUCCACAAGAUGAUACAUUCACUGACCCUGAUUUUGAGUGUGAACAAUACACUGAUGCAGACACAACUUUCAAGGAUUCAAUGGCUGAAAAUGAGAUGACUUAUCCCGCAAAGACCCCUGCCAGAAGAAGUAGAGAAGAGGAUGGGUCAUCUGUAGUAGAUGUUGGUGAUGAUCUUGCACAAUUUUCAAGUAACAAGGUUAAAAAAGUGAUCAAACAGGAGAAAAAUCCGUGAAUUAAAACAUUUACUUCCUUUUAAAUGA